UCGAUUUUAAAUGAACUAUCGUUGUGUAAACAUGAAACAUAAUGUGUUGAACAAAUAGAAGACGACAAGCGACGAGCGACAUCUGUCAAAUAUUAAAAUACACGCGUUCUUAUGGGCACAGAUUUUUUGGCAACAGCACGACUUCACCACAAAAAGGUUGAAGUCUUCGCUGUCGCCAAAUUAGAAAUGUUUCUAAUUUUGCCGACGACAAUGGACGCUGUAGAGCUGCCACUAACAUGUGAAAUGUAAAAUUAUUCAAAGUUCUCACAAGUAUGACGUUAUUUUGCCAGCAGAAACGUAAAAUAGCUUUAAUAUAUCAUUUAUAAUAACAAUCGAUUAUUUAAAACAAAUAAAUCGACCAUUUUUACAUUUUUUACGUAAAUAAUUUCACUUUAAACUAAAUAUGUAAAUUUUAUUGAAGUGAUAGAUGUUAGUACGGCAACAAUGAAAUUGCUUUUUGAUAUGUCGCUGCCGUCUUCAAAAUGUUCAAGACGCUGGCUUCAAAGCGACAUUUGUGAUCAGCCGUCGCUACGUCGUGUCGUGUCGUCGUCUUUGUGUUCAGCACUUUAAUCUUCUCUGCAAAAACUCUUGUCUAUGUAAAGGGGCCCGUUACACGUUCAAUAUAUAUCGUGAUAUUAGGAUCGCAAUCUACAUUGAAUAUUGAUGGAUAACAAAAAAUAUUUUAUAUAUGAAUUUGUUUAUUUUUUCGUACAUUUUUUAUAAAAUGUCGGAAGAAACCCGAAGAAAUUCAUGUUUGGCACUUGUUUUUGCUCCCACAGCAAUUCACUAUAUUUCACAAUAUUUGGAAGAUAUCAAAAAACCUUUGGCAGAUGAGUUGCAUAGCUCUGGCAGAAAUUCUACUGGAAACAUUAUAAUUCAUGUUCAUCUUAUUAGAAUAAAGUUGAUUUUAAAAUUUUGGCUUGUUGUCUUUUAACAAUUCGGACAUGUAAAUCACAAAAUAUUCUACACGUUCAAUAUUUAUCUCGCGAUCCACGAUCCGCUUUCUGGAUUUCAAAAUAUUGAAAAAUUUAGUGAUAUGGAUCGUGAUCCAUCAAUACUGCAUUCUAAACGUUCAAUAAAUAUCGUGAUACAGGAAAUAUCAUGAUAAAUACUGAACGUAAAGCAAGCUCAAAACUGAAUGGCAAAAAUAAUGUAACGAAAAUGGCACCAGAACAAACUAGAAUAGACAAUGGAAAUCGAUAACUUACCAGAUUUAUCUAGACAUCGAUAUUCGUAGUUGCCAGAAUGUUCGAGUGCUAAGGGCUGCCGGACUGGCAGCAAGACACGGUUCUAAUAAGAGAGUUGUCCAGUGAGGACAAUUCUAAGGAGAGAGUUGUCGAGUAAAGUGUGAACAAGCUAUAAGUUAGAGUUGUAAAGUAGAGUAUUGAGUAAUAAAGUGUUAAGUUAUAAGGAAUUAUAAAUAAAGAUUAGUGUGUAGCCAUUAAAGUGUGACUUUUAUUUGACAGUCCAGUGAUCGAACUCAGGAUCCAAGGGCUCCAUAGGAGACACUCUGUUUAGCACGUCGAAAAUAAGUAGUGAAACUGCUACUCCAAAAGUCAAAUGUAAUUUGUUGUACAUAAUCCGAUGUAAUAAUACCUAAUUCGAAAGUAAUACAGUGAUCCCCGCUUAAGUUCCACCCCUUUUUAGUGCAUUUCCCUCUUAAGUGACUGCCCUACAAGACGGAGCAAUAGUAACAUUUUGUAGUUAAAUGGCAAUCUCGGUAGUUAGAGAUGCACGUACUACAAUGAGCCGAUCAAAAUCUCCGCUAUGGCCGCCAUUCAUAUGAAAAAAAAAUUGAAGUGAGUGGAUAGCGGUAAUAUGGUGGACUGGAUGCUGCAGCUUAUUUUAAAGGAUUAUAACUGCAGAAAAUGGUCUCGGAAGGCAAAGCGAGCUGCAACGCACAUCUGGUGCGUACAUGCAAAACUAAAAAGAGAAGCAGAACAAGGAUUAUGCCAAUUUAGGCAGAUGGAUGAGUUGAUAAUAUCAGACCUUAUAUAUAUAUUUGCAAACUUAGGAGGAAAAAUUAAAUUAAAUUAACGAAACGGUGACCCAACAAAUGACCAAUACCUGUGAUUAAAGGGUUACACUGAAAAUGAUAAAUCGAACAGUCUCCCCUGAUAGAUGGCUGAUUAAAAAAAAACUACUACAGGGGGCUCUGCUAACCACAGAGUGACAUAUGCCUUUCCAAAACGAAGAAAAAUUAGAGCAGAAAGACAUAUGCAGCAUUGGCACCAAAAUCAAUGAGAGAGAGCGAGCAAGAUAAUCACACUUACUUGGUAACUUUCUCUACUCGUCUUGCAGGGCGUAUUUUGCGGCAUCGUUGUUUUUUCUUUAAAUUUACAUAUAAAAUUCCCUCUUUAAGUGCCUUCGCUUAAAUGCCAGUAAUAUUUAAGCCUUUUAAUAUUUUUGACAUUGAAUGCGCUGAGUAUUGUCCAAAGGAAAACAUAAACAUUGUUUUGUAAUGAUUUUUUUCAUAUUUAUUGUUAUUAAUAAGUAUUUUUGUUAUUAAUAAGAAAUAAAUGUGACCUUCAUUCUAAAAGAAAAAAUAUUAGUUCGAAGUAUUUGAAAAAAUGCUUGGUAAGUAUCUCGAGGGAAUCAUUUAAGUGCCUUUCCCUCUUAAAUGUCACAAAAGUCUUGCAUGUUGAGAAGGAACACUUAAUCGGGGUAAGUAUCUCGAGGGAAUCAUUUAAGUGCCUUUCCCUCUUAAAUGUCACAAAAGUCUUGCAUGUUGAGAAGGAACACUUAAACGGGGAUUACUGUAAUACAAUAUCUGUUAAAUAAUAAGUAUAUGAAAAUUAUUGUGUUGUUUUAGGUUUGCAAUUAAAUUCAUUUCAAUAAUACCUGUUGUAGAAUAUUUUGUGUUGUAUUUUUAGGAUUGCAUGGUUUUUGUUACUUUCUGAUACAAAGAACUAACAGCCCUAUUCUGUGCACUUUACAAAUUCAAAAAAUUUCUAAUUUGUAAAAAAUUUAAAUUUAUCAAUAAUUUCGUAUUCUGUGUCUAAAAUAAAAAGCUUUUUUCUUGUUAGAUUGUUAAGAAGUAAAAGGCUCUUGACAAAUAAAAUAUCUCGUUGUGGAUAGCUGUGAAAGUGAGUUUGUUGUAAUGGAAAUAUUUUGCUUUUGUCGUUAUUUUUAUACAAAGUGGAAAAAUAUGAACAUGUUGAUGGCUCGCGAUAUUAAGAACUUUAUUUUUUUCUUUUUUGUAUAAAAAAUGAAGAUAAUGGAGAUAAUUUCGCCAAUAAUGAAGAAAGUUUAGAAUUCGUAGUUCCCAAAGAACUUUUCUGAAGCUAAACAUAACAACCAACUAAACCAAAAUUGCAUUCCAAAUAUUUUUAAAUAUAUUAUAAAGGGCAUAUGUACAUAUCAGAGAGCAGCUUCGGGUAUGUUCGAGUGUGUUCAAUCACACUAGCUUAAAUUCGGUACGAGUGUGUCGUAACACUCUUCAAACACGUGUUCGAUCGAGUUUAGAACCCGAAGCGAAAAUAACGCAAACGAACAAUCAAGACGGUCCUAUCUUCGAGUGCAAGCAGCAAACUCGGAUUUUAUGUAUAUUAUAUUUUCGGGUGUGUCGUGCACGUGUUGAUUGUGAUCGACACACUCGAGUGGCACUCGAAGACCAAAAAAUAAUAGAUAAACAUACGUACACACAUAUGUAUGUAUGUUGGCGUCGGGAUGACGCGUUCUGUCUUAGCUUUUUUGGUUGAAUAAUUUGAAUAUUAGACGUACAUAGUACAUAUUAUAAAAGAAUAAUUCAAUUUAAGAAUAGAAUUCACUCAAAACCUAUUUUAUUUAUUAAUUCAUAAAUCAUAAAUAAAAAACAUUUCAUUGCACUUAAAUAUUUUAAUUUUUUUUAAAUCACAAAUUUCAGGUGUAGACCAGAUAAGGUGUUUGUGCCAUUGGAAAUGUUCUCACAACCCGAAUUUUCUAUCGUUGUCAUUAUGAAUUAUAAAAAGUAAACAAAAGAAACAAAACCAAUAUUCGUUGACAAUCACUACGCAAUAAUAGCAUGACUGCCAAUUACAUACAUACAUAUUCUGAAAUUUUGUGCACACUCGUGUGUGACUCGAUCACAUUCAAUACGAUCGGGUUAGAGUGCCAGCUCGUUCACAAACGAGUGUCAACUCGGCACUCUGUUAAAACAAGCAUAUAUGCUUGUGUUUCGAGUGUCGCGAAAGGCUCGUUCGUUUUGAACAUGUCUCCAAGCGAUCAAUACGUGUAUUCAUACCGAAAAGUUUAAUCAAACGAAAUCAGAGUGGACAUUCGAGUGUGCACGAAAAUGAUAUAUCCGUUGCAGCUCUCUGGUACAUAUGUAUAUAUAUUAUGUUUUAUAGUAUUCUAUGGCUUUGCGGGGGAGCAAGAGACUCCCUGUUUAGUUAGGGAGGCUGACGAGACUCUGGCGACCGAGUAAAGGGGGUAUAACCUUAUCAUCUACAUAUAUAGGGUUGUAAAACCAAACCAAAUACUUUGCAUCAGGUCUGGGAGGCUUCAGUCGAUAUUUCGACAGCAGAAUCGGAUAAAUAGGCUGAUAACCCGUCAAUCGUAAACCAAACUUAUCAACGAAGCCACAAUGAAGAAUGCUCGGUUAAAACAAACACUCAUCCAAAUAACGGCCUUUUGCAUGAAAAAUAGGGCCACAUUCGGAGCAUGGAAUAUUUGCGCACUCUCAGAAACUUCACGUCUAGACCAAGAGCAAAUAAUUUAUUCUGAAAUUGAAGUUAAAUUAUUAACUAUUUUGCAACAAACAUUGAAAUGUAUUCUAUUCAAUAUAAUUGGACAGAUAUCAGCUGUUCCUGUUUAAAUUAUUUUGUUUCCCACACGUGUGGGGAAAAGCUAUGCGUACUGAAGCUUUUUAUACUCUCGCAACAAAUGUUGCUAAAGAGAGUAUUAUAGUUUUGUUUACAUUACGGUUGUUUGUAACACCCAAAACUAAACGAGUUAGAUAUAAGGUUAUAUAUACCAAAGUGAUCAGGGUGAAGAGUGGAGUUCAAAUCCGAAUGUCUGUCUGUCCGUCCGUCCGUCCGUCUGUGCAAGCUGUAACUUGAGUAAAAAUUAAGAUAUCUUGAUGAAACUUGGCACACUUAUUUUUUGGCACCAUAGGAAGGUUGCUUUCGAAAAUGAAUGAGCAAAAUCGGACCACUGCCACGCCCACAAUAUUACGAAAACCGAAAACACAUAAAGUGCCAUAAAUAAAGCUAUGGAAAUAAAAAUUGGUAUACUAAAUUUUUUGUACAUAUCUCGCAAACCAAUAGAGCUAUAUAAACCAAACUUUCUGCAGUCGUUUUUUUUAGCCACUUCCUAAUACAGUCCAAAAAUGAAAGAAAUCGGUUCAUAACCACGCCCACCUCUGAUACAAAAGUUAGGUUGAAAAUUACUAAAAGUGGGUUAACUCAUUAACGAAAAACGUCAGAAACACUAAAUUUCACACAAGUGAUGGCAGAUAGAAGCUGCACUCAGAUUUUUUUAUAUAAUGGAAAAUGGGCGUGGCGUCGCCCACUUAUGGGUCAAAAACCAUAUCUUAGGAACUACUCGACCUACUUCAAUGAAACUUGAUUUGUAAUAGUUUCCUUACAUCCCAAUGGUAUGUUGUGAAAAUAGGCCAAAUCGCUUCACAACCACGCCUACUUCCUAUAUACCAGAACUUUGAAGACGAUCUGAAUCGUUUACUUUACAAUAUAUAAAGUAAGCACUAGUGAAGAUAUCGGUACAGAACUUUGCACAAAUACUAUAUUUAUAGUGUGGUUGCCCCAUUCUAAAAAUCGCCGAAAUCGGACAAUAGGUUUUUAAGACCCCAUAUAUCGAACACGAAGACCUCGGUGCUUCUAACCUAAUAUUAUGGUUUCCAACUUUCAAUGGACUUUAUACAAUAUAUAUGAAGAAUAUGGGGGUCAAAUUGUGUAUUAUUAAUAUAAAUAAAGUUAAAUAAAUAAAUUGCGAGAUAUGGGUAUCGUUGGAAAGAGGAGGUUCUGGAGCUGACUUAUAGUUUUCGAGAUAUUCGCACUUAAAGUUGAAAAAUGUGCAACUUUUAUCUCGAAUUUUCACAAUAUAUACCGAAUAUUUUAUCAAUAUUUUGCACUUAUUUUACAUUUACACUUCACCACAUUGUUUCUGCAUAUUUAUUUUAUAAAAAUUAUGACAAAAAUAGCUGUAAAUAAAUAUUUAACAUUUUACACAAAUCUUCGUUUAAAAUAUAGCAAAAUGGUUGCAGGUUGACAAGUAAUCAGAAAAAAGAAGGAUUAUACCCCAAAUACAUAAACCAUAAUGGUGUUAUGCCUAAUGCAAAAUCUUUCGGUAUUGCCUUUUCUUUGAUAACCCCCGGUGAUGGCCCGACCAGGGUUAUUUUUUUAAAGCGCGGGCGAAGGCCGCCAAUGCAGAAAGAAUUUCUUUGCGAAAGAACUUUUCAUUUCCCCCUCUUUGAUAACUUCCGGUGUUGGCUCGACCAGGGUUAUUUUUUUUUUGAAGCGAGGCCCAAGGCCGCCAAUGCAGAAAGUAGUUCUACAAGAAAAAACUUUUCAUUUCUCUCUCUUUGAUAACUCCCGGUGUUGGCUCGACCAGGGUUAUUUUUUUGAAGCGCGGCCGAAGGCCGCCAAUGCGGAAAGUAUUUUUACACGAAAGAACUUUUCAUUUCCCUUACUUGUAGUACAUAGAGUUAAUAUCUUUUAAUAUUAAUACAAUCUUUUUAUAGGGCAUUUGUUUUCUGCAUUUGAGGUAUUUAUUUAUUUUGAUUCUUCUCAUUCGUUUGCAAAAUAUCUGAUAUGGUAACACUUAUUACUUGUCAAGCUGCAACCUUUUUUGUUAUUGUUGAAAUUAAGAGAUUUGUGUAAAAUGUUAAAUAUUUAUUUACAGCUAUUUUCGUCAUAAUUUUUAUAAAACAAAUAUGCAGAAACAAUGUGGUGAAGUGUAAGUGUAAAAUAAGUGCAUAAUAUUAAUAAAAUAUGCGGUAUAUAUUGUGAAAAUUCGAGAUAAAAGUUGCACUUUUUUCAACUUUAAGUGCGAAUAUCUCGAAAAAUAUAUGUCAGCUGCAGCUAUAUAUUCUUAAUCUGGAGAACCUCCUCUUUCCAUCGAUACCCAUUUUUUUACCGAAAGCCUGGGAUAGUAUACUAAAGUUUCCCCAAAUUUCUUACUUGAUAAAAAUAUGAACAAAUUUUAAUUUUUUUUGUUAUUUUGUCAAGUAAAUAGACAUUUGAAUUAUUACAACUUUGUUUAUAUACACAAUAACCAUGUUGACAGAUAAAAAGUGUUGCCAUAUCCAAACAAAUCAAAACAAAAAAAUAAAUUUCGCACAUUACUUCCCUGCAAGACGGAUUUAGUUAUUUAUCUUAUCGAACGGUGGUUACCAGUAAAAAAAGCUCGUAUUAUUUUUGCGGUCACUCUUGUUCAAGCAUCAGGAAAAAGGUUACCACUUCUCCUCUUUUACAGCACGUCGGUGUGAUUAUCUUGUUCGCUCUAUCUCAUUGCUUUUGGUGCAAAUGCUACAUAUGUCUUUCUGAUCUAAUUUUGCUAUUGUUUUGGAAAACAAUCUGUGGUUAGCAGAGCCAUCUGAAGUCGUUUGUUUCCUUCAUCAUUGUUAUGGUCACCCUUAGUCACUGGAAGUGGUCAUUUGUGUGGUCACCCCAGCCCCGUUACUAAAAUUUGGUUCACUGGUCACCUCGUUAAUGCUACCGGUUACCUUUUAUUUCGUUUAGAAAUAAAAAAAGAAGUUUAUAUUUCCUUAUUUUAAUUUAUUUAAUUGUAUGAGGUAUAUACAUUUAUAAAUUAGUAUGGUAUUUUACAUUAUUAAUAAUUAUUAUAGAUUAAUUUUAAAAUAUUAGCAAUGCAGUACUAAGUAAAAUUUAAUUUUUAUAAACAUUUUUGUUGCUAUCAUUUAUACAUUGACAAAAUUUACUUAUUUUACAUAUAAAGUAAAAUGAUAAAUUGUAAGUUCAGCUUAAUAAUUCUUGCAUAGUGAAAUCAGAAGCAAGAUGAACAUCUUCGGCGUCUCAGUAUUGUUUUUUUGAGCUCUGUUAAUUGUUAACUAUCCAUUGUGUAGAUCCAAGGGCUCCAUAGGAGACACUCUGUUUAGCACGUCGAAAAUAAGUAGUGAAACUGCUACUCCAAAAGUCAAAUGUAAUUUGUUGUACAUAAUCCGAUGUAAUAAUACCUAAUCCGAAAGUAAUACAGUGAUCCCCGCUUAAGUUCCACCCCUUUUUAGUGCCUUUCCCUCUUAAGUGACUGCCCUACAAGACGGAGCUAACCCAUACACCACUACACAUGCAAAGUUUUUCAGCUUUUACCAACACAUACGCAAUAGUAACUUUUUGUAGUUAAAUGACAAUCUCGGUAGUUAGAGUGGCAACAUUCAUUAACCCUAAUUUUUGUAUGUAUAAGAGAGAGAUGCACGUACUACAAUGAACCGAUCAAAAUCUCCGCUAUGGCCGCCAUUCAUAUGAAAAAAAAAUUUGAAGUGAGUGGAUAGCGGUAUUAUGGUGGACUGGAUGCUGCAGCUUAUUUUAAAGGAUUAUAACUGCAGAAAAUGGUCUCGGAAGGCAAAGCGAGCUGCAACGCACAUCUGGUGCGUACAUGCAAAACUAAAAAGAGAAGCAGAACAAGGAUUAUGCCACUUUAGGCAGAUGGAUAUUUGCAAACUUAGGAGGAAAAAUUAAAUUAAAUUAACGAAACGGUGACCCAACAAAUGACCAAUACCUGUGAUUAAAGGGUUACCCUGAAAAUGAUAAAUCGAACAGUCUCCACUGAUAGAUGGCUGAUUAAAAAAACUACUACAUAUGCAGCAUUGGCACCAAAAUCAAUGAGAGAGAGCGAGCAAGAUAAUCACACCGACAUGCCGUAAAAGAGGAGAAAUGGUAACUUUCUCUACUCGUCUUGCAGGGCGUAUUUUGCGGCAUCGUUGUUUUUUCUUUAAAUUUACAUAUAAAAUUCCCUCUUUAAGUGCCUUCGCUUAAAUGCCAGUAAUAUUUAAGCCUUUUAAUAUUUUUGACAUUGAACGCGCUGAGUGUUGUCCAAAGGAAAACAUAAACAUUGUUUUGUAAUGAAUUUUUUCAUAUUUAUUGUUAUUAAUAAGUACUUGUGUUAUUAAUAAGAAAUAAAAGUGACCUUCAUUCUAAAAGAAAA